rnacentral:lncRNA from 1 species
UGUCCACACAUUUUACAUCUAGUUGUCGCCCAGCCCACUAUUUGGUCUAGAAAAUUUUUAGCAUUGGCCCAUUUGGAGCAACAAUUAGAACUUCACAGCACAUUACAAAUAGGCCCAACAUCAACAUUGAACACAGAUACCAACUUCACAGAGCACCAUAUUACAAAUAAGUUCACAGAACCUAGUACACAUAACUUCACAUUUAAGUCCACAAAAGUUUACCACAGGAUGAUAAUUGAGUCCACCAUAGCACCAAACAUCAUUUUACAUAACCAAGUCCACCACACGACAGUAAGCUCAUAGAAGCAUCAACACAACUAAAAUAAGUAGAUGGAGUUCAUCACAGUGCACAAGAUAAUAAAGGAGACUAGGACAGCUUAUAUCAACACCUGACAAUCAAAUGAAACCAAGUUUCAGAUUAUAUCAACACCAAAUUUCUUAUUCUCCAAAUCAGAUACAGCUGAAUGAUAAUUCAGGAUCAAUUAUUUUUCUAACCUGCCCGAGGGUGAUGGGGAGGAGCCCAGCAACCUGAUAGUACAAUACCAUAUGUUAGAUUAUUUUUUUUAUGCGCUAGAGAAACAACAAGAAACAAUCGACAGAUACGAUAUUAGUUUUUGAAUGAAAGGGCUACUUUGCAACACUAAUCUGAUGUCCCCAUAAUAUAUUGCACUAACAGAACUCAAUGUCCCCAUCCCCAACCCACCUCAUUUCACUGGCCAAGCAAACAAGCAA